rnacentral:lncRNA from 1 species
UUUGAGGUUGUGAAGUAUGUGAGUUAACGGAGGAGACGAACUGCGAGGAGAGAAAUGGAAGAUUCACCGAGCAGAUAACCACAAAGUAGGGAGAAGAGAAGUGUAGUAGAUGUGGAUAAACAUGUUGACGAUCUGAAGUUCAAGACCACCGAGUUGAGACUCGGUUUCCCGGAUCCGAGUCACCCAAGUGAGCAUCCAAAUGAUUAUGAUCCUUCUUGUUGAUCUUGAAUUGAUUUUGUUUCAUCCUCUUCGUUUUUAAAAGAUUCUUUUAAGUAUGCAGCUA